rnacentral:tRNA from 1 species
GAGAAGAGUUAAGAAACACAGAAAGCUGCUAACCAUCUGUCCCGCAGUUAAAAUCUGUGGUCUACUUA